UAAUAGUGUAUAUUAAAGUUGUUGCAGUUAAAAAGCUCGUAGUUGAAUGUUGGUGUCGAACGAGCGGUCAGCUUCGGCUGUACUGCUCUCUCGACUCCUUCCUUCUGUGGACUACGUCGCACUUUACUGUGUGGCGCUAGGACGCAGAUCGGUUACUGUGAAAAAAUUAGAGUGUUCAAAGCAGGCCGUACGCUUGAAUACAUUAGCAUGGAAUAAUGGAAUAGGACGUCGGGCCUAUUUUGUUGGUUCUAGGACCGUCGUAAUGAUUAAUAGGGACAGUUGGGGCCGUUUAUAUUCCGUAGUCAGAGGUGAAAUUCUUGGAUUUACGGAAGAUAAACUACUGCGAAAGCAUUCGGCAAGGAUGUUUNCGUUAA
rnacentral:rRNA from 1 species